GCGACCCAUACUUGGUUUCAAA
rnacentral:miRNA from 1 species